rnacentral:lncRNA from 1 species
AUAUAUAUAGACUAAUUAAAUUUUUUCACAUCAUCAGCCGUCCCCGGUACAAGUAUUAAAGCGGUCGAUAAUUGGUAACCAAAAUUUUAAAUUUAAAGUCUAAUAGCUUUAGCUUUUCAACUAAAUAAAUUUCUUUUUAAAAAAAUUAAAUAUAUCUUUCUCUCUCGACAAAAUUAAAAAGGGCACCAUAUUAUCCCAUUGUAUUAAUGUUCUAUAUAAGUAGUAUCAUAGGAGUAGGCAGCACUACUCUUUUAUCCGGUUCACCAAAUUUUUGAAUACCAAUUAUCAAAUUCUUAACCAUGUAUGCACAUGAUAGAUGGCAAGAGACUUGUAUAUAGAAAAUAGAGAGAAUACAUAAUAGAGAAUAGGCCAGGCACAUGCAUAAUAUAUGAGUAAAAUAAUCGAAUUGCAUUUCCGCGUAAGUUGGUUCACGUAAGAUCAGCAUAUUAUUAUAGAUGGGGAAAACAAAGACGAAAAAGACUUCUACCCCAGCUUCCACACCUAUAUAUAGUUAGCCUUCUUAAUUAUCAAGGAGAGACCAAAGACGAAGCAUUUCGUAAUAACUUGGACUUGAUACAUUAGUAUCUAUAUAUCACUUGUUGCAUAUGGAACAUAACCCAAGCAACGCUCAGAAAUCUUCCGGGAUUGCGGCUAUAACUCCUAACAUAACGGAUCCCAACAUGGACGCGCAUGCUCUGCUAGCCCGCUUGCAAGUAUUGGCCGGCACCGGUGGUGGUGCCGGGCAGGUGGACGUGAACAGCUUGCUGAGCAAUCUAAUGCAGCAGCUGGCCGUGCCCGCUCAUGCACAGGAGCAGCAGCAGGAGCAAGAGCAGGAGCCGAUGUGCGUGGCGGGGCCCAUACAGAUGAUCUGCGGGGCCAGCACCUUCUUCGAGCACAACGUCCAUGACUUCAUGCUCUCUGCUAAGGAGAUCGCCCCCGCCAGCACCGACUACGCCGUCGUAUCCAUCAUCGGCGCCCACAGCAGUGGUACAUAAUUAUCUCUUCUCUGCUCUUCUCUUCUCUUCUCUUUGCUCCUCUCUCUCUCUCUCUCUCUCUCUCUCUCUCUCUCUCUCUCUCUCUCUCUCUCUCUGGCGCUUUUUUUUAAAAAAAAGAAAAGAGAAGAAAAGAAAAGGAGAGAGUAGUAUUAAUUUGUCCGUGUGUAUAUCUUUAAUUUUAUUUUUAUAUUUUUUUAAAAGAUAGGUAGCACACUAUUCGCUUCGUUUAUUUUAUUUAAAAAUAAAUUUAGCUCGAAAUGUGAAUCAACUAGGUUGUUCUAUAGACGGUCGGUAUAUCUUUAAUAAAUCGCGCGUAUGUACGUACGUACGUACCCUCCAGAGUCCGGAGUAUAAAACUUUGUCUAUUUUUUUAAUUUACUUCUUUGCCCUUGAAGAAGGGCCGUAUUUACAUGCAUAAACCUCAUGCCGCUCUCCGUUCGCGUCGCCCUGUACACAAAUAGUGUCCCCGCCGCGAGUCGCCGGCCCUAGAGCCCGACCCGGCCCGGUCGCGGUGGCGGGUCAUGGAUCACGUGACCGUUAACCCGCCACGCUUCCUCCUCGUCGCACCGUUUCAUUCCACAUGCGCGGCGACUUGUUCGUUAUCGACGGAAGAUGAAAUUAGAGGGGCUACUUCAAUUCUUCUUCUUCUUCUUCUUCUUCUUAAUUUUAAGUUAUUCUCUUCCUUGAUUAUGUAGUGUAGCGUGUGAUGAUCUUUCAUUUGUUUACUAGUAGUACACUACUUUCUUAUAUCUUCUCGACUGAUGAAUCCCAUGGAAUUACAUUCGGAUUUGAUUCCAAAGGGAGCGUAAGUUUCUUCUUUUGGUAUGUUCAUUACACACAGUAUUAAUUAUUGUUUGCCCGUAUUGAUAUUGUUCAUAAUCUGGAAAGGAAAGUGGAUUCAUGCUUUUAUUGUUGUGUGCUGAGUCCCUGCCUAAGGAACUAAUCUAUCGUAGCUCAAAAUUUCCCCUUUGCCCCCGCCCUUUUCGUGUCCUGGGGAAUCCUUUUACAAGGCCUGUUUGUCUGUGGAGCCUGAAAUGUGGAUAUAUUAAGCAAAAUGUUUCAAUUUUAGCAUCGCAAUCUGAUUACUGGCAAGCGCAUUUUUGUCUAUUUUGAUUUCUGAAAUCUAUUUUACCUGAGCUAGGCUUACUAUUCGUUUUCUUCUUACCCCUUCUCAUUCAACCAUGACCCUAGCUAAUACAACCAUAAAUUGUGUGUGUGUGUGUGCGCGCGCGUGUUUUGAUGGUGUUUGAUCCUUGCUUCUCUGUUUCUUUCUGCAGGGAAAAGCUAUUUGCUGAACCGCCUUUUCGGGACCAACUUUCAGGUGAUGGAUGCCGCUAAAAGGAGGUAAUGCGCUUAUCAGCUGUUACUUAAAUCGAGUCAAACUUUCAAAUUUCAGUUUGCAUCAUCGUAUGCAUUGUUUUGGCACUAGACCUUUAUUGGGACUUUACUGUUGUUAGCCGGGCCACAAAAAGUGUCCGUAAUGGACUUAACACUCAGAAAGUUAUAAAAGAUUAUUAGCCAUCUCAUGUUAACCUUGCUUUGAAUUAUUACUUGAAUCCCACUUCAAGAAGCAUAAAGGAUGUUUUUUUUUUUUUCCCAGGGGACAAACCACCAAAGGAGUGUGGCUCUCAAGGUGCACAAAACCAUCCAUGUUGGUUAUGGAUGUCGAGGGGUUUGAUGGAAGAGAAAGAGGGGAGGUAUUUCUUCCUUUGCAAGCCCUUUGUGAAUCUCUUCCGUGGUUGGUGUAAAAUAAGCUGCUUUUUUGUUUCCCUUCGGCAGCAUUUCUUUCCAUGAUCUUUCUUCUUUUUUUUUUUUUUGUUCCAGCAUGCAGUGAACUGCCAUGAAUAGAAGAAAAGUAACUUAACUACUAGCUUAUAAUUUGAUAGAAAGCAUUUAUGAAACUCUUAAACUGGUCUAGAUGCAUGCUCAUGGUUCUUGCAUAAAUGCCUUAUUUGGUAAUGAACAAGCUUCAAAAAUUAAUCAAAAAAAUACUGGUUGUUUUGGUUCUCAUGCAGUGCAUUUUCCUUUUUUCUUGCAUUUCCCAUUAGACUACCUACAUACCAGGUAAUAAAUUCCAUUUGUUACAAGCACAUAUAGAUAUGAAGUCAAAAUUCUUAUUCUCAUCCUUCUAUCCUACCCUAUGUUUUGUGGGAUGACUUCAUCGGCCUGAGAAUUAAUGUGAUUCGUGGUUCCUAUGUAGUGGGCAUGUUUAUUCUACUUAUUUUAAUCCAACCCAACAUGUUUAGUGUGGUACCAUGGUUGGCCGUGUCAUAUAGUAACUAAACUCUCAUAUGAUGUGAUUCUAUAUAUAUUUAUCUUUCAAAUAUUGUUUUCUAGGCUUAGGCCUUGUUAAUGUUUGCGGUGUCUGUAAGCACCCUCUUUCAUACAUUUGAAGACCAAAAUAUUGCCAAUGGAGAAACAAGUAGCUGCUUGUUUUUCUGGUGGCAGUUCCCUCCACUAUUUUAUAGAAUCAAAGUAGGGAGGAUUGAAAGUGCCUUCAGACUUUCUAGGCCUUCCAAAGCAUAAAAGUGGGUGCUUUUAGACACCUUAAUCCCAAACUAAGCCUUAUUUCAACUGAUGACUAAUCUUUUCUCUCUGUAAUAGGAUGACACAUUAUAUGAAAAGCGAGCUGCUCUCUUUUCGUUAACUAUCUCGGAUCUUAUGAUGGUGAACAUGUUAGUCCGUGUUCUUGUUCUGAUAUGUAAAGAAUCUUCUUUUAAUAAGAUGCACAUAAUUUUGAAAUCUAUUCUAUUACUUUAGGUGGCUACGAGAUAUCGGCCGACAACAUGGUGGUUGCAUUCCACUUUUCAAGACAAUAUUUCGGGUAUGUCUUACUUGCAAUUUCAAAUAUUCUAGCACUUAAGUUUUCAAUAUAGAAAGCCUUUCAAUACUGUAGAGUAUUCCUAACAGUAUUAUUGUCAAUCCCAAUGCCUUGUUUGAUGUGGAAGCACCCAGGACACUGUGCUUCUAAAGCACCACAAACACUCUCUCUCUUUCUCUCUCUCUCUCUCUCUCUCUCUCUCUCUCUCUCUGAAUGUAUGUGUAUAUAUUACACCCAAAUGAAAAAGAAGCUCUUUUCUUAUUUUGAAAUUUCUUAAAUUCACCUUUAUGGCAGGAAAGAGCAAAGCUGGAGCCCAGUAAAACUAGAGUAUUAGUCAUUGUACGCGACUACGAUUAUGAGGUUUGUGAAUCAUAUCUGAAUCUUAGUUUAUUUCCAUCUGAUUAUCAUCCUGUGCUUAUUUUUCCUGUUUUCCCCUGGCAGACUCCAAUGGAAACUUUACAGAACAACUUGGUCACACAGAUGGAAGAGGUACAUAUUCUUACUUAUACCUUUUUAGCAUAUUGCAAUGUGUAAUUUUAUCUCUAUGCUGCAGAUAUGGGAGUCGGUGAACAAACAACCUGGUAAAGAAAAUAAACUGUUCAGUGACUACAUUGAGGUGAGCCAACAUAUUAGGUGUAGCUCUAUAGAGGUUCUUAUUUUCAACAUCUUCUUUCUUGUAUGUAUAUUUCUCAUCAUCACUUUUUUUUUUUUUGUGAAGGUGACGGUAUUUGCUUUACCUGACAGACUUCUAGUACAAGAUUUCAAAGAAAAGGUAUGUAGUAUUUUAAGUUUCAAAAGUAUCAGAAAGGAUGCAGAAGUUCAGAUUUUGAUAAGAACUGUUAAAGAAUAUGAAACAAUCAUUAUUCUCCAAAAGCUUAAGCUAUCAGAAAACGGUGUUUCAAUGUUUAUUUUCAACAUUUCUCUUUACGUCUAGGCUAGAAACUUUUCGAAAGGCCCAAGAUGUGAAACUAAAUUAAAUGAGAGGAAGUUAAAUAAUGCUAGGACUGUAGCGGGACUCGAACUCAAAAUUUUUUGUUUUAAUACCAUGUUAAAGAAUAUGAAAUAACUAUUAUUCUCCAAAAGCUUAAGCAAUUAGAGGACGAUGUUCUCAAUAUUUAUAUUCAACAACAACAAAUGAGUAACUAGUUCCAAAAUUGAAAUUAUUGGUUUGAUCAAAAAUUCCCCCCAUGGUAUCAGUUUUAGAGAAUCAAAACUAGUAGGUUAAAACUUUUGUCAUGUGUGAACCAUUUACAUCUAUUACUUAUGAUAUCAUUGUGUCAAGAAGCAUGUUAUCCAAAUGUUGAGCAAUUUUCAAGAAAAAACACAUGAAAAGAAAAAUUAUAUUACUUCUUUAAAAGGAUCUUCAUGUAUAUAAGAUAUUUUAUUGGCUACCUUUUCAGUGUAUAGAAGGAUUUACAUUCAUGGGGCCCAUGAAGUUUAUAAUCUUAACAAUAGCUAGAGCAGAAUUUUAAAAUUUAUUUUCUCUAACAAAAUUAAUAUUGUGUCUGAUAAUAUUCAACAUAAAGAAGUCAUCUUUUAAUAUUUCAAUGUUCUUUAAUUCUUACAUCGCAUUUAUAAAACAACCCUUGCUGCGCUGGAUCAUUAUGUUUAGUAGAUAUUUAUCAAAAUAACAUUUUAAUAAUAUAUUAGUCUUAACUUUGGUUCCUUAUGGCCUCCUCAAAUUUCACGUUAUUCCUAUUUAACAUUUUAAUUAACUUGCCUUUAGUGGCUUUGUGGAUUAAUUUUACAUUUGAUUAUUCUCCAGGUGACAAACUUGAGGAACUGGUUUUCCAAGGGAGGUCUUGCGGAGCUCCAACAGGACAAGGUCGCAGCAUCAGGAUUUGCGUUCAGUGCAAAAGGGAUAUGGGAAACCAUUAAACAAAACAAGCAACUUGACCUGCCAGCUCACAGGGUAUUCUUCUGAUUAUUUGGUUUUAGAGGUCACUUCAAUCUUAACAAUUAUUUUUCAUGCGAAUUAACCAGCACACAAUUUGAUGGCAUUUUAUAUCUAGAUCCUAGUGUCUACCAGCAUCUGUGAAAGAAUUGUUAGGGAAAAUCUUGAUGCUUUGGCAUUACAUGAGGUACUCCCUAUUCUUUUAUAUGGUUCUUGUCAUGUUUCCUUUGUAUCUCUCAUAACGCCUCUUCCUGUUUUGCCUUCUGCUGUACGGUAGGAUUAUAUGUCUAUGAAGAGUGGAGCACAAUAUUCUCCAAAGGAAUUCAGCACAAAGCUGGAGGGACUUCUAGAGUGCGUGUUGGCAAGGUAAGACAUUCUGUCCCUAUAAACGGGAUUAAAUAAAAUGCAUAUGAACACAGUAGCUAUUGCUCUUAAUGUGUUUCUUUACCUUCUCUGCUACAUGCACAAUUCUUGUCUGAAAAGUAUGUUGGUACUUGGUAAAGUGAAGUUGUUUUUACACGCAAGUUUUAUAUUAUCCAUUCAUUCUCUGCAUGAACGCAUGCAGAAAUAACUAGGCAAAGCCUAAAAAACGUGAGAGAAAUAAAAGAAAAUAUCUAUCUACUCUCUUAUUAUGAACAAACAAACUGAGAUAAAAGCAGAUUUCUUCUCGUCUAUUUGAAAAUCAAAGAGCGUCUGACAGUCUUUGAAGUGAAUAAGUGAUAUUUCUAUCAUAUAAAUGAUAGUGCAAGUUUUUUUUUUUGUUCUUUCUGCUUGAGUAACAAAUAUUUCUGACCAAUAUAAAUAUAUGAUCAAGUUGUUUGACCUAGAAUUGAAGCGCUCUAUGUCAACUUGGCAAGACCAUUUUACCAUUUUGUCUUCAGUUUCUAAAAGAAUAUCUAAUCAGUCGUCAUUGCUGAAUUGACCUUAAUAUAUGCGCUUCUCUUGGCAAUCGUCUAGUUACACUUGCAAAUGAAGGGGUCCAAGUUCAUGGUCAUCUGAGGGUGUGUAAAAGCUGCAUUAGUUGUAAAAUAGAAGCCAGAUGUUGUGGCAAACAGAAGGCCUGGAGUUACUGCUGUGGUAGGAAGCUGAUGUGAGAUUUUGUGCCCUAAAAGCAGAACUCUAAAUGGGAACAGCUUCUAGCUGCACUAGCAAGCAGUUAAGGAAUUCUAAUGGAAUCACUAUUAAGGCUUCUUCAGCAACCAUGAAAGGAAAGAGGAUUUAAUUCAACUUACCCUACAUGAUAGAAAAAUAUUUAAUUCAAGCCCCUCCACUACCACCUAAAGAAAGAUGAAUGAAUGAAUGAAAGAAAAAGGGAUCGCCUUUAUCCCAGCAGCAGGGGCUUGCAAUAUAACUGAAAAAUCACUGGGUAACUUUCUCAUAUAAGGACUUUCUUUUUAAUUUGGCUACGCCUAGGAAUCAACAACAUAGAAACUUUAUUAUUAAUUACCCUUUUGCUUAUUGAUAUCAGGACUAACAAGGAUUGGUAGAACAGCAAACAUCGAUCUUCUUGUACUUUUGGGUACUCGUAUAACUAUCAAAUACCAUUAAAGUGACCAAUUCCUGGAAGUAGGUGCUGAGGACAAAAAGUGAGAGUUACCAUGUCCCUCUAAUACCACUAUAAAUGGUGAUAUUGUGUUAACAGAAACAGAAGGUUGACUUGGGAUUAUAUGAAAAAGCACCUGCAUCUUUAGUUCAUAAUGAGAAAAUAUAAUAUCUAUGUUCAUGCCUUUAGUUUCAACGAUGUCAGGUUUUGUCAUGGUUAGAGCUUGUCUAUGCUUCGCAUCGGAGGUCUCCUAAAUAGCCCUUCCUGUAAUUGGGUUCCUUACCAUUUGAUCUGGAAAAAUUAAAAUCAUCUAUGCAUCUAUAUUUGAUAAUGAGUGAGAUUGAUAUACAUAUCACAGUAUCAUGAUUCCGACAUAUACAUUAUCAUAUCAACUGUUACACCCAUAACCUGCAAUUGGUGAAUUUGGAGUCGAUGUUCGUGAUCGAUCUUGCAGAGUAUAGAACAGUUGUUUGAAAUAUAUAUAUAUAUAUAUAUAUAUAUAUAUAUAUAUAUAUAUAUAUAUAUAUAGAGCAGGGCUGCUGUGCUCUCAGGAGCACGGAGGCCUCCGUGCUCCUGAGCCGUUUUCGAUGAUGGAGUUUUCGAAUCGACGAUCGGCUCCGUUAAACUUGAUCUAGCGUAUUUAAAGUUUCUAGAAAAUAAUUUUUGCGAUUUUUCGAUAUCAUUUACCUAGCAAUCAAAAGGAUUCAAAAUCAAUAAUUUUUAACGGCUGAAAAUAAAAUCCUAUAAAAAGUGGUGAUAUAGCACUAAAUUUUUCGAUCAGAAAUAUAGAUCUUGUUGUAGAUAGUAUAAAGAAUUUUCUAUCAAAAUUUCAUCUGAUUUGAAUACUUCUACAUCGUUAAACUUGAAAACGGCAGAUAUCAACCAUUAAAAAUUAUGGAUUUUGAAUCCUUUCGAUCACUAGGUAAAUGAUAUCGAAAAAUCACAAAAAUUAUUUUCUAGAAACUUCAAAUGUGCUAGAUCAAGUCUAACGGAGCCGAUCGUCGAUUCAAAAAUUCCAUCAUCGAAAACGGCUCAGGAGCACGGAGACCUAGCACGGAGACCUCCGUGCUCCUGAGAGCACAGCAGCCCUGCUCUAUAUAUAUAUAUAUAAUUGAUCAGCAGACUAUCAAAAUUCAGAUUUAGAAAUAUUCAAUAAAUGACAUCAACUCUUCUGAUGAGUCCACUAAUGAAUAUCCUAUUUCUUAUCAUAUAUUUAACUCUUUUCCCAGUCCUCUGCAUUUAAAUAAGAGUAGAUCUCAUAAUUACUUUUGGAAUUAUAUCUAGUAGAGUUCUACAUAUGCUAUCUCCUGCUGUUGCUUACAUGAUUAUUUGUCUAUUCCUUAGAUACGAUGCAGAGACUGACAUGUAUGAUGCAAAUGUGCGAGCUGCUAAACGCCAUGGGUUGGAGAAUGGAACACUUCAUGUGAGAUACCUUUUGCUUAGUUAUUAAGUUAAACUGUAAUAAUUGUGAUGAUCAAUGACUUCUAAUUAUGUUUUUGACAAGUGUUUAAUAUCCUUAAAAUGUUUAAGUUUUUAACAAUGCUUGAUUUCAUAACAGUAUUUUGAAAUUUUUGUACAGUGGACUGAUAUUUAGAAAAUAUGUAAUUUUGAAAUUCUCUUCCAUGAUGACUACUACAGGCAAUUUGCUUUUCUGAACAAUACUGUUCCCUUCCAUGACGGCCGCGCUGCAUACAAUUUGUUUUCUAAUGAAUACUCUCGAGUUUUGCAAUUUGUAGUUUUCAUCGAUUUUAGCAAGUAGGAUAAUUAAAUAUUAGCUAGUAGGUAUAAACCAAAUUGGGAUUGAUGUGAUGAUCUUUCUUGUUUUAGGUAAUGUCAUAAUGAUCAACUGCCUAUUCGAACUGACACGACACUUUGAUGACUUAAUAUAUUCUUAAAAUUGUGAACUACUCUCUUUCGUCUGUUUAAUCAAUUAUAUAUAGCAUUCGAGGCAACAUAAGACAUGAAACUGCAACCCUUUUUUUUCGCUCUGAUGAUCAUAAAUUUGUAACAAUGGUCAAGUUUUUUCAUUCUCUUUCUUGGAUAUAUGCAGCUUCUGGAGCCUUUUUGCAAGGAUAUGUUCAAUCGUCUUCGCACAACAACAGCAUGUGAAAGUAAAGAUAAAAUUGCUGCUCAAUUGAGAAAUGCUGAUGAUCCCGCCACUGCAGUUGAUGCUUCAGUCCAGGCUUGCUUGAAGGAGUUCACUGAGUCAUGCAAAGGUAAGUUUGUUUCUUUUAAUAUUACAAAAUCUAGUUAAUUUGCUUCCAGCCCAUCUCGUAGUCAAUUACUUUAUGUACCUCUAGCUACAAGAAAGGCUUCUCUAGAACUUGAAAAUAACAUCUUAUUUUGUAGUUUGGUAUUUUACUCCAUCUGUAGCUAAAAACCUACAAAUUUGACUGCUUUUCAUAUUCAUGGGAAUUCAAAACCUGAAUUCUCGUUGGCAUCUUUCCCCUUGCUUAAUGCUUACUCAUCCUGCUAGAAGCUUAAAAAUUUCCAAUAUUCCAGUUAUGUUUAUCAUAUUCUUGAUUUGUGCUGCUUAAAUUAGUUUGACUGCUAGAAAGCUCUCUUUACUUGCUGACUUUGCUCUUUGUAUAUUUUAGCUGCAACUGUAACUCGAUUAUUUUUAGUUCAGAAGUUCAACAAUUCAAUUAUUCUCAAUAUCUCACAAAUGGACCAUAUUCCUUUUAGAGUUGAGCUCAAGAUACCAAGUUCUGUGUGAUGAGAACUGCAAGGAGCUGAGGAAUGAGCUGACAUCAUUUGCUCAAAUCAAGGCAGAAAGCAUUAAGGUCUUUUUCUGCCAUCGCUUUUCUCUUCUGUGGCAUUCUAUAUUCAAUGACACUAUGUUUUGUAACAAAGCUUGUGAUAAUAAAAAGCCUAAAUGAGCACAAUGGGGACAAAGUACAGAAAUGUGAUUUCCAUCGCAAAAUUCUCCCUCAUAAAUUUUGGAGUUUCUCUUGGUGAUGAUGUUGCUUGGUUGUUUUGACUCAACAGUGGAAAAGGACGAGGAGAUAAGUGUAGGCCUCUCCUAUAUAAUGGAGGAUGGCUCCUCCAAUGAGUAUAUGUAUAUUUAUAAAUAUAAUGAAGAAAAGAAACUAAUAAAAUGAAAAGGGAGAAGGCAUGCUCGAGGCCGAGAAAACUGGUAGCUGCUGCUCUGACUAGAUCCGAAUUUUAUACUUUCGUGCGACCAUCCAAAAUCAUUAGAGCUUUACAGGGUGGAUACAAGCAGAAAACACAUUUCAUUUACUUUUCCAUACACAACGGAUCCUUCUAAAGUUUCUCAUCCUUGUGUUUUUUCAGUAGUGCUGAAUUCCUUCAAUAAUGUACCGUUUUCAUCUUCUUACAGUUUUCCUUCUCUCUCUGCCUUUUCAUAUAGGAGCAACGCAUGCGGGAGGAGCUGGAGCGCCAAAGAAUCGAAGCUGAACGUGAAGCAAAACCAGUGAGGGAAGAAGCAGAACGUUUGAGGCAGGAAGCCGAGCAUGCAAAGGUGGCUGCAGCGUGCGAAGCUGAGCGCAUCAACCAAAUACGAGAGUUGGCAUUACGCCGAGUUGAAGAAAACGCACAAAGAGGGGAGCCUCCACGAGGACUGGGAAUUGAUCCCACACUCGAUGCGGCUUUGAGCGUCUCACCACUUUGGCACAUUCUCCGGCCAUUCCUCACCUCUGAGGCCCCAACGACCGAAGGUUUGAUAAAUCCUCCGAAAAACACAUAAGUCUGGUUUGGUGUCGGCUGUCGAAAUUUGCUCUGAUGUUUGUGUCGUAUGUUGUUGCUAUUUCUGAACUGUUUGAUGUCCAGAUUUGCUCUGAUGUUUGUGUCGUACGUUGUUUUUACUUAUCAACUGUCCUGGCUUGCUGUAACAAAUAAAUACCGUAUGCAAUAAAGCGUCAACUGCCCUGGUUUGCUGUAACUAAACAGUACCUUCUGCAAUUGAGUUGUAGAAUGUAUGCGAUCAAGUGUCCUGAUUUGCUGUAACAAAUAAAUACCUCUAUGCAAUGCAGGUACGUAAGUUAGCGUGCUAUUACUUGUUGUUUGGGCAAUAGGUUCUUGAUCUUGUUUGUAGCGUUUUUCCCAUGCAGAGGAUACCCGUUGACCGUGUAAACCUCAAAUAUCAGGCCUUUCUGAUCUUCGGAAGAAGCAAAUAAUUUUGCAGGUUUUUUUUUUUUUUUUUUUUUUUUAAGAGAGAUAGAUAUCACGCUACCCGCUUCAUUUAUUUCAUUUGGAAAUAAACUUAGCUAGAAAUAUAAAUCAACUAGGAUUCAAACUUGAAUCUUAGAUAUCAACAAUUAAAUCUUUUGCCACUUGCUCUAGGGACGGUCGGUAAUUUUAUAGAUUUGUUGAUUUGGCAAGUAGUGCACCACUAACGGCAGACACGAACCCACAUCUAAUCAGAUUGUUUACGCAUUAAAGCACAUUCGCACUUUUUUAAAAAAAUUUUGGUGUACUAAGAUUGUGGAAGACAUACCAUUUUCAGCAAAUCUGUAGAAAACCAAAUCUCUGGCUCCCGCCUUUACAGCAUUAAUUGAAAAUUACGAAAAUCUAAAAAAGUCCAAUAAUUGACAAGCAUGCUACUACUCUGCAUUCUAACAGUCCGCUAUACAUUUCUCCAAACAUAAAUGCAGAAAUACGCGAAGAACAUCAUCAGAGGGGUAGCUCAAAGUACAUCUCUACGUACGCCAUAAUUUUUUCAAAACAUAUCUCAGUGGCAGGAGUGUUAAACUACAAGACCGACGUAUUCAAUUAACAACCUGCAUAUUCAGUUCUUCAAAAGCAGGCAGUGCCAACAAUGGAAGCAUCGCACCACAUUUUAUAUGUCAGACGCCCUGAAAAGGGUCAAAAGUGACAAGAAGAGGUUGAUGAUGUCGAGAUACAGAGCGACCGCAGCCCACACGUACUCGUCAUAAGCGUAGCGCUUUAUCAAGUUGUCCGUGUCGUAGACGAUGUACCCGCAGAAGAUGAGCGCAGCUAUCCCGCCGUAGAUCAUGUAAGAGAUCCUCCCGAGCGGAAAGAACAGCUGAAAGGACAAAAAGAAUUGAUCGUGUUAUACAUUUUUUUCUUUUUCUCGUAAUUGAUAGAGAGAACUCACCCAGGGACGGCGUGAACUGUACCUGUAUAAGCGCGAAGACGAUCAAUAUCAUCAGCGCAGCGAACAAGAACGGGCCGAGGAAGUUAAAGUCGUGGCCUCUUCUUGCCGCCCAGAAGGUGUAGAGGGUGAGACCGACGACAACGAUAGCUGUUAGGAAAACAGAUUCGAGGAUGACCUUCCCUGUUACGCACGCACGCAGAGAAAGAGGGUCACAAAAUUUGCAUACCAACUUUAAUACAAAAUUAUACCGAAAUUAAGGUCCAUUAAAUCUUCCGGUGCAUUAACAAAGUAUAGGUGAUGGUUUCCAAGCAGUAGCCAGUUCACAGAUUAGAUAUCAUAACCAAAUGAAUUGGCUUUCUGAGAACAGAGUGCGGUAAGAUUUCAGACUACCAGCAACACAGAUAAAACAGACAUUUCUUUGGUGCUAAUACAGAUCAAAAUCUAGAAAAUCUGUGUUCAUAUACAUUAGAAUUAAAGAACGCGUAGGGAUUUAAAUGUUACCCUUGGUGAAGGCACAAGUCAAUCCGACGGCGAAGCUGAUGGAGACCGUGAAAAGGCCGAGUAGCAGCAGAUUCACCGGAUGGUGCUGGUAGUAGUAAUACAGCGGGCAAAGUACUGCAACACAUUCAGAAAAAUUAAAUUCUUUAGUAAAACUACAGUGAUAUCCUCCUGCAUUGGUUCGAUCGUUAAACAAUUAACUAGACACGACAAAUUCAUAUGUAAAUAUCACAACCGCCUCUGUUAAUAGCAUCACCCCCAUCAGUAAAUCAGUGAAAUAUAUAAGGUCAAGUUUAUAAUUCGAAUAUAUAUAUAGAUAUAUAUAUAAGAAAGAGAACAUGAGAGGUGUGGACUCUACAAGCAUGCAGUACUUUACAUAUUAAAUAAAAAUACUACCGAAUAAAUUAAGCAAUUAUACUGGUGAGAGAGAAAGAGACUUGCCGAGGAAGGGGAGAAUGAUGAAAAAGAUGUAGAGGCCGAGACCCCCCGGGGAGGAGACGAAGAAGUAGGCGAUGGGGUGGACAUAGACGACGAUGGCGGCGACGGCGAUGGUGAGGAGCAUCUGGAUGGUCAGGAUCGAGUAGAUCUUCCUGAUGAACGCCCACCGCAGCUCCGGGCUCUCCAGCAUCAUCGGGUACAGCGGCCGCGCCCCGGACUCCACGUCGGGGCCCUUGUACGGAGGUCGAAACCACAUCUUCUUCCGAGAAAGGUGACGGAGCUCGAUCGAGGGAGCGGAUCAGCGAUCAGGGUUAGCGCUAGGGCUAGUGUUAUCUCCGGUGUUGAGCUCGCGGGGGCUAGGGUUAGGGUUUUAUCGUCGCUCGUGAGCGGAGGAGGAGAAGGUGGGAGAAGGCGAGAGAGAAUAAGAACCCGAGGAAAAAUGAGUAAGGAAAGGAAGAGAGAGCGGGAGACGCGACGAAUGUUCGAGACGGGUCUCGCACCGAAAAAACAAACACGAAGUGACACGCGGCGGUCCCUGAACUUGCCACGUCGCCCACUGACGCGAGCUUCGCGCGUCGUCUCGUACGGAUAUGCGGACCCAGCGGCUUUCGGGUAGACCGCGAGCAGCUUCUUUCCGACCACUAAGAGGGCGACAGCUCAUCACGGAUGAGUGGAGGUGGGGACCACCACCCGUUUUGCGGUGAGGGGGCGAGACGCUUCGAAGCAUAUAUAUAAAUAUACUUUGCCCGGAACGGAGGAUGGGGCCAGAGAAUUUUCUUUGUGCGCCCCAGAACACGAUUCGGCAGUGUUUGGUUUGGAAAUAAUAGAAAAAAAAAAAAAAAAAUUUCUUUGUUCUCCUUUUUCUUUUUUUUUUAAAUACAGUGUUUGAUAUUUGAGAAUAAUAAUUUUUUGAUUUUUGAAAUUGCUAUUUCAUUUUUUUUCUGAAACAAUCUUAUUCUCAGAUGGAAACAAAAUUAAUUAAAGUCUAAAUUUAAUUAUGAUUAUUAUGAUAUUAAAUUAUUAAUUAAUUUAAUUAAUAUAUUUAAACUAUUAUAUUUUGCUUAAAUAAUAAAAUUAUUUAUUUAUUUAUUAUUUAUAAUUAAUUAUUAAUAAUUUAAUACAUUUAUUCAAAACUAAUAUUUAUAUCGAUCAACCAUUAAUAUUUGUAUUAAUCUAAUUUUUCUUUUACUAGUUAUCUAGUAAAAUAAUUUACUAUCUAAUUAAAAAAUCAAAUUAUUUUUUAUAAUUAAUUAAUUAAUUAAUGUAUUUUCAUUUUCUUAUAUAUUAGGGAAAACUUUAAAAAAAACCUCCUGUGGUUUCACUCUUUCUCACUUUAGUACCCUAUAGUUUAAAGUGUAUUAAGUUGGUACACUGUGAUUUCGCACUUUCUCAUUUUAGUACUAUGUGGUUUAAAGUGUAUCAAGUUAGUAUCCUGUGGUUUCGCACUUUCUCACUUUAGUACCAUGUGGUUUAAUAUUUCAUUAAGAGAAAAAUAAAACCACAUGGUACUAACUUAAUACAAAAAUAAAACCAUAGGGUACUAACUUGAUACAAAAAUAAACCACAGAGUACUAACUUAAUAUACUUUAAACCACAGGAUACUAAAAUGAGAAAGUGCGAAACCACAUAGUACUAACUUGAUACACUUUAAACCACAGGGUAUUAAAAUAAAAAAGUGCGAAACCAUUGGGGGUUUUGAAGUUUUCUCUAUAUAAUAUUCAUAGCUAAUAAAUUUAUUAGUUUAUUAAAUUAUUUUUAAGUAAUAUUUUGAUAUUAAUUAAUUAGAUAAAAUAAUUUUAAUUUAAAAUUAUAAUUAUUAUUCUCCUUGUUCCAAUCUAACCAACCAUUCAAACACUAUUUAUCUUAUUCCUAGGAACAACCUAAUUUUUAUUUAAAUUAAAAAUUGGUCUAGUUUCUAUUUAUACCUGAACUUGUAUUUAUAUUCUUAUUAACGCAGCCGAUGGGAAUUAGAGCGCAAUGGAGGAAUAAUAAUAAGAAAAAAUUAAUUAUAUAGUUUUUUUAAUUAAGAAAGAGCCAUUAAUUAAUAAUCUAUAUGCAGUUGUAUGCUAAUACGAGAUUAUGAGUGUUUAUAUAGAGUUGGGUUCUGUUUUUUUUUUUUUUUUUUUUUUUUGGCUAAACUAUCGAGGCCCUUUAUUUGUGAGGAGUGAACAUUAUACUUGCACAUUUUGGCAUUAGUUAUAAUGACCAUAUCAGAUCUUUUCUGAAAAACUGAUUUAGAGUUUGGAUUGUUGGACUAGAAGUCUAGAAUAAUAGGAACAGCUGCAUGUUAUAAUUUUAAAAAUAUAGAUGUUUUAGCUAAUUAANNNNNNNNNNNNNNNNNNNNNNNNNNNNNNNNNNNNNNNNNNNNNNNNNNNNNNNNNNNNNNNNNNNNNNNNNNNNNNNNNNNNNNNNNNNNNNNNNNNNNNNNNNNNNNNNNNNNNNNNNNNNNNNNNNNNNNNNNNNNNNNNNNNNNNNNNNNNNNNNNNNNNNNNNNNNNNNNNNNNNNNNNNNNNNNNNNNNNNNNNNNNNNNNNNNNNNNNNNNNNNNNNNNNNNNNNNNNNNNNNNNNNNNNNNNNNNNNNNNNNNNNNNNNNNNNNNNNNNNNNNNNNNNNNNNNNNNNNNNNNNNNNNNNNNNNNNNNNNNNNNNNNNNNNNNNNNNNNNNNNNNNNNNNNNNNNNNNNNNNNNNNNNNNNNNNNNNNNNNNNNNNNNNNNNNNNNNNNNNNNNNNNNNNNNNNNNNNNNNNNNNNNNNNNNNNNNNNNNNNNNNNNNNNNNNNNNNNNNNNNNNNNNNNNNNNNNNNNNNNNNNNNNNNNNNNNNNNNNNNNNNNNNNNNNNNNNNNNNNNNNNNNNNNNNNNNNNNNNNNNNNNNNNNNNNNNNNNNNNNUUUUUUUUUUUUUUUUUGAGAGAAAUAGGUAGCACGCUGCCCGCUUCAUUUAUUUCAUUUAGAAAUAAACUUAGCUAGAAAUGUAAAUCAACUAGGAUUCGAACUUAAAGUCUCGGGUAUCAACUAUCAAAUUUUUUACCAUUUGCUCUAGGGGUGGUUGGUAGCUGGGUUCUGUUUUAUUCCCUGGGAAUUAUGAUUCUACUAUAUAGGAGGUAGAUUUCCUAUUAAAUUUUAUUAUUAUCAGUGCGAGAUCAAAAAUUAGUCAACUAAUACCUUCUUUCUGUGCUCGGUGCAGUAAAGCCCGAGUUGGUUCAUGGUACUAACUGUGUACUAAUUGUGCGAUUCAUUAUAAUUUAUUCUCGAUCACGAGUACACACACAAUUCACGCUUAAGUUACCGAGGGGACUUGGUUGGCACGUUUGUACAUGGAAGUAGAAUACUAGGACGAAACGUUUCAAACAAAGAACACUAGGUCGGAGGGAAAAUUUUAUUUUAUUUUUAUUUUUUGUUCUUACGUCAAACAAGAGAGAAUAUAUAUAUAUAUAUAUAUAUAUAUAUAUAUAUAUAUAUAUAUAUAUAUAUAUAUAUAUAUAUAUAUAUUGCCGUACUUAUUUAAGCUAGCUAGUAGAUGUUUCGGGAUGCAUCUAAAACAAUGGGGUCCUAGGGUUGGGUGUUGCAUGGGGGACUUUACGUGAGUAACGCAUCUGGAAUAAGCUGGAAGCCCCCGGAUAGUGGAGGAAAAUUCUUCCAAGUUGGGAGCAGGUCACGUGACAUCUCGAACCAACUACAUCUACAUCUGACCGGACGAAAAGUCUAAAAUAUAGCAGAUGCACCAUAUCCCUCGUACAAACUCCCAAUUAAUCAUGUUUAAAAUAUAGCACUAAUGUCACGUGACUUAGAAUCUUAUACCCAUUUUACAAUAGUCCUUGAAUAAAUAAAUAAAUAUAUAAAAUAGUGGAUCUGGGACAAACACCCAAAGAGGGCCCAACCAUUAAAGAAUGGAUUGGGCCUAUUGGGUCUAGUGCAAUCCAAAAGCAAGAAAUUCGUCAAUUUUGUAACCUCCACUUUGCUCCUUCCUAUGGCAGUCGAAAAGCCGAUCUUCGUACAAUUAUCAAUCCGAGUUCGACACCUCAGUAUCUCGGUGCCGAAACAAACACCGAUACCGACAACGUUUUUGCUGUAUUUUUUGAUAUUAACGUUGAAAUAUCUUAUUGAUAUGCCGAUAGAGCCAACACAAACACACGCUAUAACUUCUACCAAUUCUUAAAAUGGCUAUGCUGGUAUGAACCGUUUUUAAUCCCCCUGAUUAGUUUAAAGUAUGUGGUGGAUUAUAAUUGACAAAUUUACUGCAAGUAAAAGAGUUAAUAAGAGAUUAUCAAAUUACCAUCUAUCCGUAUAAAAUGUACUCAAUAAGAGCCAUCCCGGCUCAUUUAAUAUGCAUAAAUAUCUUAUUUUAAAAUUUAUUUAAUGGACUAUACAAAGCACACUCUAUAAUAGCGAAGCCGUCUCAUUUAAUGUAUCAAAAAAUAUUUUUAAAAAAUGUUUAUUUAAUGAAAACAUAAUAAAACAGUUGGAUCUAUCCAAUUUAUGUAAGGCACUCCUCGUUGAACAGCUCAACACUUUUAUGAAUUUCGUACAGCAUUCAUUGCUCAUUUUUCUUUUUAUUUUCUUAGAAAUUUAAUAAUUUAAUUUAUUAAUAUUUCUUCCUGCUGUUUCUUUUAAUGCCCCGGUCAAAAAAAAAUGUUUAACGGAAAUAUAAUACAAAUUACUGACCUAGACCGAAAUAUUAUCGAUAGUACUAAACUAUUAGUGCUAUUAGAUUUUCGGCCUUAGUUGAAAAAAAUAUACGGCUAGGAUCAUAGUUAGUUAAUUCGGAUUCGGCAAAAAUUCGGUACGGAUAUAAUACGCAUAAAAUUCGUUUUCUAAUUUUUAAAUUCGUUAAAAAUUCGGCUUAAAAAAUGAAUUCGGUAUAAAAUAUAAAAUAUAAGAUAAUUUAUAUUUAAAAAUAAAAAUUAUAAGCUUUUUAUUCAUAUUUUCAAUAAUUCGGCUGGCCAAAAAAUUCGCGAAUAAUUUUCUUUCUUUGGAAAAAAAUUCGUAAAUGGACCAUUUAAUUCGGAUUUUGAAUAAUUCGUGAAUAAUUUGCAAAUAAUUCACGAUUUAACUAACUAGGGUUAAGAUAAUGUGGACCUUCUUGGGUUGAGUGAGUUAUUGGUUUAAUAAUAUAAUCUGACGGGUGAAAAUAGUUAAAAGGUUAAAUUUAACGGCGAAAAACUUGAUGGUAUCAAACACUUGGUGCUAUCGAUAAUAUUCCAGCCGAACUCCAAAUUAAUUAUGUUAUAAUAUAAUAUAUAUAAUAAGAAUUAGGUUAUUAUAUUAUUAAUAUUGCCAAGUGUACGGUGCUAUCAGAUUUUCAAUUCUUAGAUAAGUAAAUGUAGAGGUCUUCUAGGAUUGAAUGGUUGGUUUGUUAAAUAGUAUAAUUUUAAUAAAUAAAAAUGAUCAAAAAAAAUAUUUAACGGCGAAAAAUUUGAUGGUACUAAACGGUUGGUAAUAUCUACAGAAACAAGACUCUAUAUGAUAACAUACCAAAAGAAUAUACAGCAUUUGUAUGCAAUGUAAAAAAAUUUUAUUAAAUAUUAUAAAAGUUUAUUCAAAAUAACUCUGAUAAAAUCUUUUUCAUCUCGCGGAACCCACGUGGGCAGCUUACCAAGGCUUAGGGCCAAUUACGAGCCGCCACGCACCCACCACAUGGGCCCACAUACGUGACUUAUUGCGCUCAACGACCAAACCUAACUCCUCACCUCCCAACCAUAAAUCCCGCCCAUUUAUAUCCCUCUGAUCCUCUUCCCUUACCACACCACCCCCCCCUUAAUUAUUUUUUUGUUUUUCAAAAUAUAAAUAAAUAUAGUUAUCCACCGUAUUGAGUAUAAUAAUCGGCUAAAAAUUUAAUAAUUAAUAGUUAAGACUUCAAAUUUGAAGUUAGCUACUUCAUACUUUUAGCUAAAUUUAUACUUUUUUAAAAAUAAACUAAGCAUAUGCUUUACUUUCUUUCUUUCUUUCUUUCAAAAUAAUAAAAUAAAUAAAUAGAGACGUUUUAAAUUAUAAAACAACUCGUGUAAUCGCUUAAAAAUUAAAUACUUUGACUCCAAUAAUUUAAAGAAUUUAUAAAAUUUAAUAUUUAAAACUAUAUUUGAUCAAGUUAGCUUGAUUCAUUUGAAAAUCUACCCCCCCAAAAAAAAAAAAAAAAAAAAAAAAAACUUAAAAGUUGAUCAAAUUAAGAGCUAUUUAAUUUGGAAGAGGAAUGCUAGCUAGCUAUUCCUAAAAUUGAAAUAAAUAGGAUUGUGAUUCUUACAACUCUGUUAUAUAUAUAUCCAGGAAUAUCAUCGUUAGUUCGUUCAUUAGUGCUUUUCUUUUAAUAACAAUAUAUAUAUAUAUAUAUAUAUAUAUAUAUAUAUAAUAGUACUUCUCAAAGCUCUAGUUAAAGAGUAUAUAAGAUCAUAAUUUUUAGCAUUUUGUAUUUUAAGAAUGGGUUAAUAUGUAGAAUUAGGCUGGAAUACUAUUAAUAGUAAAACGCUCUUUUUGCUAUCAAGUUUUUAACCCUUGGAUGAAAAAUUGUAGGGUCGGGAUGAUAUUAGUUGGUUAGAGUUGAGUGGUCCCCCUAGGGUUGAGUGGUCCCCACUGGGUUAUAGUAUUUAAUCCAAUGGUUAGAAGUAAUGAAAAGAGUUGAUCCAAAGGCUAAAAAACUAGUAGCAACAAUGGGAUUUUGCUACUAAUAGUAGUCCAGUCCAACUCUAAUAUAUAUAUAUAUAUAUAUAUAUAUAUAGCUAGGUAAGGGGCGCGUGUUAGUACAUUGUUAAUUAACCUGCGCGCUGAUAUAAAUAAAGAGGCAGGAGCAGGAGAGUUGGCUUGGCUACGUAUAUACACCUCCAUAUAUCCAGCUCCUAGCUAGCUAACUGAAGCAGUACUGCUCAUCUUCUCGCAUUCUUUCUUUUCUUUUCUUUCCUUUUGUUUUAUUUUUCUUUUUGUGUGUUUUGUUUUUGGUUUUUCAUUGAUUCGGGACGCGGUGGGAUCGAGGAUGACGGCAGGGGGGGAGAGGAAGGGGGGGAGGGGGACGGGGAGGGGGAGGGUGACGGUGGUGGCGAAGUCGACGGCGGUGGGGGUGAAGCCGGUGCGGGCGGGGAAGACGCACCCGCUGUCGGCGCCGGACCACGCGAUGGGGCGGCACACGCUGCACCUGGUCUACUACUACCGCCCCAGCCCCGCCCUGGACCGGGACCGCCUCCUGGAGUCGCUCUCCGAGGUGCUCUCCUACUACCCGGCCAUGACCGGCAGGCUGACGUGGCAGCACCACGACCCGCAGGACGAAACGGCCGGCGCCGGCUCCGGGGCCUGGGUGGUGAAGUGCAACGAUGCGGGCGUCCGCAUGGUGGACGCGCGUGCGGACGCCACGCUGGAGGAGUGGCUGAGGACCGCGAGCGACGAGGAGGAGAUGGAGCUGGCCUACUGGGAGCCCAUGGGACCCGAGCCCUACGUUUGGUCCCCCUACUACAUCCAGGUUCAACCCCACUUCACCAUGAAACACCCCCCCCCCCCCCCCCCCCCCCCCCCCCCUUUUAUUUAUUUUAUUUUUUUUUUGCUUUUGCUAGACUCUUAUAGUUUAAUUUAAUUACCUAAAUUUACAUGUUUUCCAUAUUAAUUAAUCGGCUUUUUUUUUUUUUUUUUUUUUCCUGAAUCGAAUGACUCGGCCAAAAUAAUUUUAUCAAAUCUAGAAACUUCAACUCUAUUGUAACAAAAGAAUAGCAUUGUCACGAGUAAUAGUUAAUAGUUAUACACUAGCUAGGUUGAGGCAUUCAAGGCCAAGCAAAAAUUCUCCGCUUCUUAAUUAUCUUAAAAGAAUGUUUGCGAAAUAUGUUGUUGUUAAACCCCUGUAUCUCAAAAUAGAGCCUUUUGACCUAGUCAAAGUUUCAUUGGAUAAAAAGAUACUAACUUAUAGACGGAUAGAUAAAAGUAAUAAGAAAGUUCACUUUAAGACAAGUGUCUGAGGAUUUACAAUCUUUCAAGAACUUAUGGGAGACUUUGUGUGUUUAGAUUAGUUUAGUUUAGUUUAAUCUAGUUAGUUUAGUUUAAUCUAUAGGAACUUAUGCUACCUUCCUCUGAAAAAAAAAAGAAAAAGAAAAAUAAAACUAACCGAAGAACCCCUUUAAUUUACUUAAAAUCGUAAACUUUCAAUAUAUAGAAGUCAAAACGAAUCAGUCUGAUCUCGCUAGUAGAAGAUCACAAACAGGCUAUAGAAUACUAAUGUUGGAAUCUAGAUUGUAUAAAAAGAGAUUAUAACCGGUUGCUAGGACUAAUUUGAUGAUUGUUAAGAAAAAUGAGAGCUCGUCCUCCUGUACGUACCCUAUACUGCAGUUUCUAUAUGGAACUUGAACCUCCUAAUUUCCGCUGAUGCUAGCAUGAUAUAUACUUGAUCGCCAGAGUACCAAUGAUUUGGCACAAAUACUAAUGCUAUAUCCCAAUUGUACCGAAUGAGGCGGGGAUUUGAGUUCUUCUACUUGAGAGGACUUUGAGAUUGGGCUGUAACAAUGGGAAUUAAUGUGCUUGGUGAAAAUCUUUUAAUUGGGAGCUUCGAUCUCCAGAUUGAACAUAUAAUAAAGAACUAAGAAUUAGAUACAUCUGUUAUCUAAUCCUUCGACGGAGGAGGGAUUGAACGAUUUGAAGAACAGUUAUGAUUUUCUUUUACAUUAAAACGCUCCUAUAGAUUUUCUACAUGAAACAACAGCUUAAUUUGAAUCCGAAAUUCUCUCGCUUAGGCCUUGGAACUCGUUCAUAUUUAGCUUCGUUAAGUCACGGCACAUUACAAGAAGUUUUGUACAUUUUAUUUGCAAAACACUCGAUUGUCACUCAUACUCAUUGCCACAUAGAAUUCAACUCUCCCGUACGUGAUCAAUUGACAUCUUUUAAUAUUUCUGAUGCUAUUUCUUUUUUUUUUUUCCUUUUUUUUUUUUUUUUUUUUUUUAGAAGUAGGUAGCACGCUACCUGCUUUGUUUAUUUUAUUUAGAAAUAAACUUAGUCGGAAAUGUGAAUCAACUAGAAUUCGAACUUGGGUCUCGUAUACCAAUCAUUAAGUUCUUUGCCACUUGCUCUAGGGACGGUCGGUAUUUCUGAUGCUAUUUCAAACCAGGAUUAGUUGGUUAGAGAAGAAGAAGAAGAAGAAGUAGUGGAGAUAGAAUUGCAUCAAACCAUUCCCAGCAGCGUAUCUACAACAUGAUUCUAUAAAUAACAGAUCAAACCCACCGGGCACCAGUUUGACAAGAAAUAUUGCUCCUCCUUUUUCUUUUCUUUUUUUUUUUCUCUCUUCCUUAUAAGUUAAAUAAGUAUUAUAAUUCUUCCUGUUUUUCUGGUGAAAGUAAGAAAAGAAGAUUAUUUAAGUAAAGAGAGAGUUAGUUAGUUUGGCUAGCUUAUGCGUGCACGUAGUAUUUGAAUAAUAUUGGUGCAUGGUGUGCGAUGCAGAUAACGGAGUUCAAGGAAAAGGGGUACGGGGUGGGCGUGAGCUGCACCCACAUGCACGGCGACCCCACCUGCGUGGCCGUCUUCCUGAAGGCCUGGUCCGACGCCCACCGGCGCGCCGUCCUCGCCCACCAUCCUUUCUUCCAACCAACCGCCUUCCUCUCCCCUUUCGCCGCGCUCGCCUCCCUCUUCUGGCUCCGCAUCGCCUCCGCCUCCUCCUCCUCCUCCCCUGCGGCGGCGGCGGCGGCGGUGGAGGGGGAGGCGGCGCUGACCCUGGGCGUUGACUUCCGGAAGCGCAUGUCGGCGCCCCUCCCCAUGGGGUACUACGGCAACGCGGUGUUCUUCUCCCGCGCCCGCGCCGACCUGUCCCGCGGCUGGGCCCACGCGGCCGCCGAGCUGGACCGCCACGUGGCGGAGCUCGACGAGGGCCGCGACGUGUGGGCCCACGCCCAGUGGCUCCGCGCGCGCCCCCGCGACGCGCCCUUCCAGAUGUACGGGCCCGAGCUCACGUGCGUCGCGCUCGACCACGUGCCCGCCUACGCCGCCGAGUUCGAGGCCGGGGUGGGCCCCGCCCACGCCGCGUUCCGGAUCGGCGGGGCCGAGGGCGAGGGCCUGAUCGUCGUCGCGCCCUCUCCCCCCGAGGCGGGCGACGCCGCGCGGACGGUCACGCUCACGCUCCCCAGCGAACUCACGGCUCAGAUCUGCCGCGACGACCACAUACUGCGAUACGGCCCCGCCAUCAUGUUCGCGCCCCCCAAAAUUUAAAACGACUUAGUAUGCAUGCGCGCUCUCUCCAUCGUGAUCUUCCCCACUUUAAAAAAUAUAUAUGGGCCGGGUCGGGUCUUCUUGUUUCGGAGUCUUUCAUUGAUUUUUAGAGGAAACAUUUGUUAAAUUCUGCACCAUUCCGAACAUUUCAUAUUUUAUAUAUAUAUAUAUAUAUAUAUAUAUAUAUAUAUAUAUAUAUAUAUAUAUAUAUAUAUAUGUUGGGUCAUCAGGGCUGUGAUUUUUCAGAUAUAUUUCAUUUGGAGUUCAUCAUCAGUUUCGCAUGUAUUGUUCCAAACUACAUAUAUAUAUAUAUAUAUAUAUAUAUAUGCAUUANNNNNNNNNNNNNNNNNNNNNNNNNAUAUAUAUAUAUAUAUAUAUAUAUAUAUAUAUAUAUAUAUAUAUAUAUAUAUGUUCGCUUAAUUUAUUAUUAUAGUUAUAUACAUGAAAUUGUUUGCUAGCAUCUUCUGCAAAUAAAAUAUUCAAGUGCAUAUAUCGUUCGUUGUUGUCGAUCAUCCUGCUUUGUCGUGGAAUUUCUUCUUUUCUUGUAUCGAGUAAUUAAUUGAUAGAUUGGAAAUUUAACCUGCAGCUAGCUCUGAGAAAUCUAAGCUACUUUAUGGUUGCCUCUUAUGGCUAAGGGCGUGUUUGGUCGAAACAAAUUAGCCAUCUACAACUUGUGUUACUCUAUUGAGUGCCAUCGUUCGCACGAUCAAGGAACCGCUCUUCCUUAGAGAUUAUAUUCCUCUCGCGGGUCGGGAAAGACUGUUGACCGAACUCUAUUACUAGAUUUGUCGUGCUACCUUACCGGGAAAGAGAUGUGUACCGAGAGACAACGUACGACGGACCGUGACGGCGCGGCAACUCGAUCGGUCUUAAUGGCUUGAAUCACAUUGAAUAGUCAAAAUGAUCGGCUAGGGAUCUCAUCACCUUAACAAGCCCACAGAUUGUGAUAGACACCGAUUGACAAAGGUCUUAAUUUGGUCAUAAUCUUACAUAAUCUAGAUCUUAUUAACUACAUAAAUUUGUCUCGUGCGAACCUAUUACACGCCUAUUUUGGGCAUCCGAUGCUUUUCCUAGUGUCUAAUACCUCAGGCAAAUCCUUGCGACGAUCCGCUCCAAUGUAAUGAGUUUUUUGGAUCUAGCUUCGGACAACUCUUUUGUGGUCCACUCAAUAAUAAUAUAUUUACGCACGCAUCAUUUGUUACACCUAACUGUUCUGUUUUCCUUUCAGCAGGUUGAUGAACAAGAGAUGAUCGAGUGCAUGCGAGGUACCCUGUGUUUGCCCACCGUCUUUUAAAUUGAGCAGGGUGAAAUUAAGAUUCCUCUAUAUAUUAUAUCUUAUAAAAGCCCAAUUAAGUCGGGUUAGCACUACCAUUCGCAAACAAUUCCUUUUUUUUUUUAAGAAAUAGGUAGCACGCUACCCGUUUCAUUUAUUUCAUUCAGAAAUAAACAUAGAUAGAAAUGUGAAUCAGUUAGGAUUCGAAAUUGAGACCUCGAAUACCAGCCAUCAAGCCUUUUGUCACUUGCUCUGGGGAUGGUCAGUCAAACAACUCUUGCUCAUUACUUAUUUGGACCAGCAACAUUAGUGGAACGGCACAACCAGCAUCCAAUACGGGCUAGGUCGAUCAUGUCGGAGUAACUCGCCUAAUUAACCUGUUUCAUGCCUCUCACAGAAAAGUUGGAACCAUUUUUUUUUUUAAUUUUUAUAAAUUAUGAACCAAAUGCCAGAUUGCUGAUGUAAAUCUACUAAUAAAGUGUAAAGAAGGGGACUGUAGGAUUGCAUGAUGAUGUCGACUAAAAACCGUACUAAAAUUUGGCCCGUGAGCAGUACUACUACUGCCCGCACAUUUUUGGUUCUCUCCUCUCCUCUCCUCUCCUCUUGAAUAUUGAGUGGGCGCUGAUCACUUAAUUUGUAUUCAUACUGUAGCUCAAACAAAUCAAGGUGAACGAAGUUGGAUGCUUUUAAGAAAGGUGGCGUUUCAAUUUUGGAAUGUGGAACCUAAUUUGUAUUUUAAGAAAAAAAUAUAUAUAUAUAUAGUAGAGCUAUUAUGCUAUCGAAAGUAUAAAGUAGUUGAUGCUUUUGAUUUUUUAGCCCUUGGAUCAACCCUCUUGAUCAGUUUUAAUCAUUGGAUUAAUAUUAUUACCCAAUGGAGACCACUCAACCCUAAAACGACGACUAUCAUCCUAACCGUCCAAUCUUUACUCAAAGGAUUAAAAAAUCGAAAGGACCAACUACUUUAUACUUCCAAUAAUAUAGUAGCUCUACACUAUAUAUAUAUAUAUAUAUAGUGAGGCUACUAUGCUAUCGGAAGCACGGAGCCUUCCGUGUUUCCAGCUCGUUUUCAAUGUUGCGACUUUCGAAUUGUCGAUCGGCUAACUUGAUCUAGAGUAUUUGGAGUACCUAGAAAAUAAAUUUUAUUAUUUUUCGAUAUCAUUUGCCUAGUGAUCGAAUGGGCUUAAAAUCAACAAAUUUCAAUGGCCGUAGUGAGCCGUUUGCAAGUUUAACGGUGUAGAAAUAUCCAAAUCACGUGAAAUUUUGAUAGAAAAUUCUUUAUACUAUAUAAAACAAGAUCAAUAUCUUUGAUUUAAAAUUUCAAUGCCAUAUUAUUAGAUUUUGUAAGAUUUUUAUUUUCAGCCGUUGAUUUUGAGCCGCUUCGUUCACUAGGCAAAUGAUAUCGUAAAAUCAUAAAAUUUAUUUUCUAGGUACUUCAAAUACUUUAGAUCAAGUUUAACGGAGCCGAUCGACGAUUCGAAAGUCGCAACAUCGAAAACGAGUUGGAAGCACGGAAGGCUCCGUACUUUCGAUAGCAUAGUAGUCUCACUCUCUCUCUCUCUCUCUCUCUCUCUCUCUCUAUAUAUAUAUAUAUAUAUAUAUAGUUUGACUAUUAUACUUUUAUGAGAAUAGUUUUCUUUGUACUUAUAAGUUUUCAGCUGUUUUCAUCCGUUAAAUUAUACUAUUUAACCAAUCACCCAUUCAAUUCUAGAAGAUCACUAUUAUUCUAACCGCGCAUCCUUUUAUCCAACGACCAAAAAUUUAUGAGUAUAAUAAGCUCUAUGCUUAUAAAAGUAUAAUAGCCCUAUAUAUACACACACACACCCAACUUGUUAUCUGAUUGAGCUGGAGUUCGUUUAUUGCACCCAAUCCCAACCGCAUCCACAAUGCAAAUCCAACUUAAAUUCGCAGAUCUGAAUCGAUUCGGUUUUUAAGAAUCAAUGUUUGGAGUAAAUGAGGGGACCCCAUUCAAUCCACCGUGGGAUAUGUUUGUUAUCUGCAGUGCCACAUGAAAAGUUUAGAAUUCGAUUCCCCAGCAUGAAAAUUUACGAAAUAGGGCUCGAGUCUUUUAAAGGUUUUUCUUUUUUCUUUUUUUUUUUUCCCUUCAAAGAGAGUAGGAUAGCAUACUAUUCAUUUAGUUCAUUUUAUUUAUAAAAAAAAUUUAACUAAAAUUAUGAAAUAACUAGAACUCAAAUUUAAAAUCUUCAAUAUCAAUUAUCAAAUCCUUUACUACUUUCGCUAGGUGCGAUGGAUUACCACAGUAUAGACAGUCAAAAAGACUUCAUGAGAAGUAGGGAUUUACCGUCAAGGAGAAAAAAAAUCAAUUUGUAAAGAUAAAUCAUAAGAAAAAUGAAGCUUGCAAAAUUGACUCUCUUAAUUGGGACAAUCAUUGCAUGAGAUUUAAUUUCAAGCUCUCUCAGUUAAAAAUCACCAACUUUUUACCUGUGAACCAAAAUUUAACUUCUUCAAUUUUUAUUUAUCAUAUUGUCUUCAAUUCUUUGUUCAGUGAAUGUACUUAUCUAGUUUAAUACACUAGCCAACUCCCUACCCCACCACCAACCCUCAUCCCAGAAUAAAAAAAAAAAAAAAAAACAAAUCAUAUUAUCUAUAAGUGUACGGGUAUUGUAUGUGAUUUCCAUAUGCAUCUAGACCUUUUCUACCAGUAGUUUUUACUUAAAGUUUUCCAUAAUUAAUCGAGUAAAAAAAAAAAACUAGCUAAAAAUGUUCCAUUUAUUAGGCAUUUAGCCAGAGCUAUAGGUGGGCCGAGGAAGUUGCUUGUCGGAAAGCUACAACCACGUGCACAUCACCUCGCAGGCCAGUAGGCUGAUGCCAACUCGUGAACCGUCCGAUCAAAGGGCGCUCCGAUGGACGGUACACCGACGCCCGCAUAGCAACCCUUUAUGGUGCCGCUCGUUCCGCACAAACGGGUGCCUUCCACAGUCGCAGUGAUGUCGACACGUAGCGGGCCGGGGAUCCGACGUGGCAGAGCCUACCCGCCCACGUGCGCGUGGGACCCGGGGGAUUAAAGUGGAAAAAUCAUAAGCCGCGUCGGAUAUACUGACAAUUAAUUAAUCAUAUUUUGUCAUAUAAAAUAGUAGCAAUGCCCAAUGCAUUUUCCCCUUUCCCGACGUGUAAAUAUUUUUUUAACUAAUAGAGAGUCACAAACAAUAUAGUAAUUUCAUAUUAGAAUUAUAUAUAUAUAUAUAUAUAUAUAUAUAUAUAUAUAUAUAUAUAUAUAUAUAUAUAUAUAUAUAUAUAUAUAUAUAUAUAUAUAUAUUUCUAAUUUUAGCCUCAUCAACUCUAUUUCAUAAAAAACUCAAUAAAAUUUUUCUAAUAUAUGCCAAAGAGAAUCUUACACAAUGUGUGAACUGCAUCUGUUUAUAGUCAUCCCAGUUUAGUUGCUUCUCUCCCCUCUCCUCCUUAAUUUUUGCAAUUCUUGUGUGCUCCUCCUGCAAUUUAUUAAGUUUUUAAUUACUUACAAUAUUAAGUACUUGGAAGUUAAAAAGAAAGAAAGAAAAUUUAUAUAGAGGUCCCCACACAUCAUAUAAUAUUACUUAUUUUUCAAUUACUAGAGAAUUUCCUUUUUUUAAAAAAAAUUCCCUAUCUUUUCAUCCUUUUGUANUGAUGGGGCGCUCCGUCGAUUGGUCCCCACGGGGGUUCGGUCCUUGAGUGGCCCGAUGGGUGCCACGUGUCGGGACGGGCGGGGAUAUGGGAGAAGAGGGCCCCACGGCGGGGGGUUGGGGGGGAUGUUCGUACUACGGUCACAUCGCGUGGGGAGUGGCGCAUGUGAUGUGAGCCGGGAGGAUCGGGGGCCCCACUCGCUGUCCUCUUUGUUCCCCAUCCGUUGAAAAUUCUUUAAUCAUCAUCAUCAUAAAUCUCCAUCCGUUGAAAAUUCUUAACCAUCAUCAUAAAUCGUCCGUUCUAACUUCUAAGUCGGAAACAUUUCAUAUCUUUACAAUGCGAAUUAUUAGACUAAUUAACCUGUUAUAAAAAUUUAUCAGAUUAUAACUGAGAUGAUUAAUAACCUAGCGCAUAAAUAAUGUUACAUUACAAAUUAGUUUUAAAAUAAUUUUGCGAAUAUACAUACGUAGUAAAAAUAGGAAAAAAGUUUAGAUUAAAAAGAGAGAUAUGAUUUAUAAAAUUAACUAUAAAUUACAUAAUUUUUAAACUGUUGUAGGCUGUGUUUGCUAGAAAAAAUUUCUAAGCAAUUAUUUUUUUUGCAACAGUAACUAUUUAUUGCUUUAUUUAUUGUGAAAAUCCAAACUUAACACUGUAGUCGGGAGUCGGGACCACAAGUCCACUUGAUUAGUACCCACUUUAUAAUUUCUCAAUUCAGCGGUGUUCCCGUCAAACAACCAGAACGUAUUAUUAUUAUUUUUUUUAAAAAAAAACUAAAAUUAAAAAAACAGGGGCAUUAUUGCCAAGUGGGCGUGCACGAAAACAACGAACGGGGGGCAGUUCGCUGACGUGGCACUCUGGGGUUGCAGCAGGGUUUUUUAAACUUAAUAAAAAUAUAAAAAUAUAAAAAACUAUAAUAAUAAAAUAGAAACUCACCUCGCGACGAAGCGGGGACGCCGCGGCCAAAUCCCAUCCCUCUAUUUCUCCCUUUCCAUAUUCUUCUCCCUCCUCAGUCCUCCCACCUCCGCCCCUUUUUCUAAAAGCCCCUUGCCAAAAUGUUAAACUAAAUUAUAAUACUAAUUAUUAUUAUUAUUACUAUUAUUAUUAUAAAAAAAAAAGUUCACAUAUAGAGAGUAGAUGUAGAGAGUGCUCUCUCUUGCUCUCUCUCUCUCUCUCUCUCUCCUCUCCUUCUAGCCUCUCCUAUAAAUAUACUGAUUAAUAUAUACUUAUAAUCACCUCUACGAGAGCUCCGCCGCGGGAGAUCGCCGGAAUCCGCCAUGGAUUCCGGCGGGUCGACGUCGGCGAGGGCGCUUCUAGAGAAGCCGCUCGCGGAGCUCACUGAGGAGGACAUCGCUCAGCUCACGCGAGAGGAUUGUCGCCGCUUCCUCAAAGAGAAAGGUCCUCUUCUUCCUCUCCGCUUCUCGACCCUGCUCCUCCCUACCGAUCGAGUCCGUUCCCUUCUCCUUUCGUUUACAGCUCCUAAUUACUCUCCUGAUCAGGUAUGCGGCGCCCCUCCUGGAACAAGUCGCAGGCGAUCCAGCAGGUCAUCUCCCUCAAGGCCCUCCUCGAGGGUCGCCCCGACUCCGCUACCACCGCCACUCGCCAAAAGCCACCGCCUCCGCCUCCUCCUCCUCCUCCGCCGCCGCCGCACGUGAGCCUCCACGCCCUAAACCCCCUCUUUCUCACUCUCCAAUUUCACAAUCGAGUCGCUUAUUGUUCGAAUCCACCCCCCUCCCCACCAACCCCAGAUUAACCUCUCCUCCCCGCCCAAGGACCCGAGCGGGGACUCUCCGUCGCCUCCGCCGAAGGCCCCGUCGCCGUAUCGCAGACGAGAUCCGACCCCGCCGGCGUUCGCAGCCGGCGACCCCUCGCUCCGGCCGACCCUCGCCGGAGGAAACCCCCUCCCGUCGCCGGAGAACCGCUGCUUCUCUCCCAGGUUCUCCUCUCUCUCUCUCUCUCUCUCUCUCUCUAGACCCUUGCUAUCGUGCGCCGCUUGUGUCCGUGCGCCUCCCCUCGCCCAUUCCACUUUUGAGAGUGUUUAGAUUCUCUUGAUCGAAAGCGACGCUCGGCGAUCCAACGGCUGGGAGAGCCCGACUGGAUAGGGACGCCUACCUAAGGGGGCAAAUGGCUUUCCCCCUUAGGACCACUAGUGGUGGUUGUCGUCGUCGUCGUCGUCCGUGAAUACGUAUAGAAACUUCUAUGAGUACUCUCGGGGUUUAGAAGUUUCUACCCGCCGUAAAACGGGUUUUAUCCUGGUGGACGGCCACGAUUUGCUUUUGUUUUCGUGAUGCGUGAUGAUGAUGGGCCUUGGGCCGUUUGCAGGGCUGCGGCGGAGGUGCCGGCUGGUCAGAUGACCAUCUUCUACGACGGAAAGAUCAACGUCUACGACGGAGUCAUGCCCGAUAAGGUUAAAUAAUCGAACCGUCAUGCAUCGUAUUCGUGUUACGGAAUGAGCCUGACUCGAACCGGAUUUGAUUUGCAGGCGCGGGCCAUCAUGCAGCUCGCCGCGAGCCCUGAUGGCCGCGAUUUCGGGCCCGGUCCGGCUCACUCCAUCAGGCCGCUGCCCCCUCGCUUCCCCAUGGCUUUUCUCGCACCGGCACAUGUCCGACCCGCUCCGUCAGCUGCCGGCAUUUUUCCACUCGCACCUGCUGGUAUGUAAUGGUCGGAGAAAAUUUUUUGUAGGACGCAUUCUAUUGCAGAACAUGCAAUAGAGUGUAUGAGACGCUGGCUGGAUAGCACUUUAGUUUAAUAUUAAUCAAAUUACUCAUACCGCCGGCAUUGCCGCGGGCUGUGUUGAUCGAUUUUGUGUUUCGUUUGAUGUUAUGUCUACGGGGUGGUGAUGCUGUUUUUCAGGCGCGUUGGGCCGACGAUCCCGGGAGAGUGUGGAGGAGUGGAGAGCCCCGCCGCCCGAGCGUGAACCCGAGACCGGUAAGAAUGCGGAGCAACGUACGGGGUAAAAUCUGCUACGGUUUAUUUUUUUUUUUUUCCUUGUUAUCUUCUUAUUUCCUGCUAUGUAUAUGUUUAUUUGCCUUCAUCCUAUCAUUUGCUUUCUCAUUCGCAUGGCCAACUUCGUAGUUGGAUUUGAAGCCGAGCCAAAAUUUUUGGUUCUCUAUCUAAAAAGCACUCAGCGAUUAAAUCAGUUCUAAUUCGGAGGAGAUAAGAUACAAAAGUACAACUCGGAUGUUUUUUCUUUUUUUUUUUUUAAAAAAAAAAUCUUAUAAUACAAUUCGGGCCCUUAACCUUUCCUUUUGUCAUACUAGACUAGAGUUUGAUUGAAUUUUUUAGUCUGACCGGUUUUUAUUGGAUUGGAUUGGACUAUGCAUUAGUCACCCACUCUGAAAAAAAAAGAAAAAGAAAAAAGACGACGUACGGAAGUACUAUGUUCUGUCCAUUACAUAGUAAACGGAUCGGAGCGGAAUAGGAUAAUUAAUAGAGAAGAUCCGCGCCCGAUUACGGCCCGGAAGAUUCGCCACAUCCGUCGGUGGCUCCUUGGGCAGACGACGCGUCGCUGGAGGGGACAGACAGUCCAGCCGCACGGAGAAAAAGGUGCUGGGGAUCGAUUCCGAGUUUUAAUGAGAAGAAGAUGGGAGGAGGGAGAGAGAGGGGGGAGAGGAAUUGCAUCGGUGUAUGGUCUCUGUGGACCCGUGACGCACCGAGCGGGUGGGGUGGAAAAGGGUUGUGACCGGUCUUUGGAGGGGAGAGAUCGUUCGUGAUUCGCGGGCCCACCGCUCCUUCGUCCGUCGCCGGAUGGUCCCCCUUGCUUGCUGUUGUUAGUGGGGACCCAUUUAGUACGACGUCUCGUCACCGGCCUCGUUAAACGCCACAAUAUGGCCCUAAAGAUUUGGAUCCUGCCACCUCCCGCUCCUUCUUGGCCCAUCCCCCCUCCCCCGGUGCCUCUCUCAGUUUGUUCGGAUUCUCGGACAUCUACAUAAUACGUACAUCCCUGCUUAUAAAACCACAUAAAUAAUUGAUAUUUUUUUAAAAAAAAAUUUUAAAAUUAUCUAUUUUUUUUUUUUUUUUUUUUUUUUUUGUCCUUUCGUUUGCCUUUUAUAUCACACAUCUAUCGUAACCCUAAUCUUCAAUCAUAGUCACGUCCUAGGAUGUUGACGAUUUACUCUUUCCUUGUGAUUUUUAGUAAAUAAAAAAUAGUUAAUAAGACAGGCUAAAAUAAGAUAGCCACUGGAUUGGGUUAUUAUCGAUUACAACUGAAAGUGGGUUGUAGUCUUGUAGAUCUAGCAUUUUUUUUUUUUUUUAUGGUGUCCUUAUUCCUAGUGAGCGGGAAAAAUUGUUUUAACGAAUGAGUGAUGAAAACUUAAUGGAGUAUUAUUGUUAGGUACGUACUGAAAAUUUAGAAACCAAUCAUCCCUAGAGCAAGCGGCAAAGGGCUAAAAUUUAGAAACCGAUCAUUUCUAGAGCAAGCGGCAAAGGGCUUGGUGGUUGGUAUCCGAGACCCAAGUUCGAAUCCUUGUUGAUUCACAUUUCUAUCUAAGUUUAUUUUUAAAUGAAAUAAACAAAGCGGGUAGCGUGCUGUCUAUCUCUCUCUCUCAAAAAAAAAAAAGAAGGAUAUUUGGAUUAUAACUUUCUAAGGGAUACGCUAGUAUUUAUCUUUUUUAAUUUUUCUUAGGCUAAAUUGCACUUUUGGUCUCGAACUACAAGGCAUGCGACACCACCAUCCUCCAACUUUUACUUAGUGUAAGUUUUAGCUCAAUCUUUCUAUAUUAUUGAAGUUCUACAGAAUAAUUGUUGACGUCGCAAUGAUAUGCCGCAGCUAUUACUAGAUUACUGUCGCAGCAAUAGCACAUCACCGGUUAGUUAAUUAAAUUGCACCGUGUUAUUUGAUUGCAACGAUCUAGAAAGUUUAAGUCAAAGACGGUAACAAAUUAAAGUUUGAGAAUCAAAGUGUCACUUGUGUAAUAGUUUGAGGACCAAAAGCACAAUUUAGCAUUUUUCCUUUUAUUAAUUGCUUAAUUCAUAGCCCCCAUUUGGUUUCCUGUAGGUGGCGGGGACGCGUAUUAAUUAGAAAAAAUAACUUGAGGUUUCUCUCCUUGCUGUAAUUAAUGCAGUUAUGUUUGUUCGGAUAGACCCUUUAGUUGUCCUGACUCAAUCUUGCUAACCUAUAUAUGGUUACUAAUAUUUUCUUUGCAAAUUUCGGGAAAUAUAAAGUUAAGAAACAUUUCCUUGAAAAACUCGUUUACCAAUUUUCUAGCUGAUUUAGGGUCUAUUUUGUUCCACGUAAGACUUAAAAAAAAAUAAUCUUUUGUGCAAUAGAAUUUUUGGUGAAAAAUAAAUUUUACAGUUCUUGCCGUAUGGUUUGUUGGAAAAUGAAAACAGUUUUCAUACUAUGCUUGUUUGGUUGGAGUUGAAAGGAAAAGAAUUAUUUUAUAUUUAUGUUCUAUUAUUUGGCUAAAACAAAAAUACGCUUUUUUUUUUUUUGUAUAUUUUGUAAAUAAAUUUUAUAAAUAAUAAUUAGAAUUAUAUAUUUAAUGUAAAAACAUUGAACAUAUAUCUAAUCUAGUAUGAUAANGGCCGAUUGAGGUGGAAAUAGCGGCGGAUCGAAGGGGCGGCUGAGGAAGCUCAGGAAGAAGACAACAAUGGCGAGGGGCAAAAUGGUCAUUUUACACACCGUGACAUCCCUGUGAAUAUUUUUCAUUUUACAAGGGGGCAAAGUGUAGGUUUUUAAAUGUCAGGAGGGAAAAGUGAAAAAGCGGGUUAUUACAGGGGGAUUUUCUGUAAUUUAGCCUAUAUAUAUAUAUAUAGUUGAGCUCGAAUGCUAUCGGUAGCAAACGAGCUCCGUUGUCACCCAUUUGUUUUCGAUGAUGGAGCCUUCAAAUCGACGAUCGGCACCGUUAAACAUGAUCUAUAUCACAUGAAGUAUCUAGAAAUUAAAUUUCAAAUCUUUUUGACCUAACGAUCAAAGAGUUUCAAAAUUUGUAAUUUUAAUAGUCGAUAUGAGGCUCUUUCUUGUUUAACGGUGUAAAACUAUUCUAAUUAAUUGAUUUUUUGUUAGAAAAUUCUUUAAACUAUUUAGAACAAGAUCUAUACUCUCGAUCUUGAUUACAAAAUUCCUGUCAUCACCUUUUAGAGGAUAUUCAUUUUUAGCCGUUUAUUUUUACGCCUACUUGAUGAACAAGGGAACAAUAUCGAAAAAGUAUGAAAUUUGAUUUCUAGAUACUUCAAGUGGUAUAAAUCAUUUUCAACUGUACUGAUUAUCGAUUUGGAGGCUCCAUCAUCGAAAAUAAAUGGGUGGCAACGGAACCCGUUUGCUGCCGAUAAUAUUCCAGCUCAACUCUAUAUAUAUAUAUAUAUAUAUAUAUAUAUAUAUAUAGAGAGAGAGAGAGAGAGAGAGAGAGAGAGAGAGAGAGAGAGAGAGGGAGAGAGAUUCCGGCUGGGAUACUAUCGAUAUCACCAAGGGCUUGGUGCUAUCAAGGUUUUCACCGUUAGAUUCAACCCUUUGAUUAUUUUUACCCGUUAGAUCAUACUAUUCAACCAAUCAUCCACUCAACUCAAAGGGGCCCACAUCAUUCUAAUCGUACAAUUUCCAAUCCAAUGGCUAAAAAACUAAUAGCACCAAUAGCUUGGUGCUAUUGAUAGUAUUCCAGUCUAGUUCUAUAUAUAUAUAGAGAGAGAGAGAGAGAGUUAAGUUUCUUUACUUUCAAAAGUAUGGAGACCUCUGUAUUUGUAAGUUAUAUGUCUGAUUUGAUGAUCAAUUCCAUUAGACAUGAUUUAUGUUAUUAGAACUAGACUGGAAUACUAUUAAUAGCAUCAAGCUAUUGGUGCUAUUAGAUUCUUAGUCCUUGGAUUGAGAAAUGUGCGGUUAGGAUGAUGUGGAUCCCUGGGUUGAGCGGGUAGUUGGUUGAAUAGUAUAAUCUAACGGGUAAAAAAAAUCAAAGAGUUAAAUCUAUCAGUGGAAAACUCGAUAGCACCAAGCCCAUGGUGCUAUCGAUAGUAUUCCAGCCGGACACUAUAUAUAUAUAUAUAUAUAUAUAUAGCAACAAUCAUGUGGUUGAUGAGGUUUUUUCACUUUGGUGGUGGGACCACAUGAGAACAUCCAUGGUGGAGUCAUGAGCUGCGACUACUGCAGUAUUGGUUUUCUCCUUGAUUUGAGUAGAAACGAGAACUCAACUCUUUUGGAGAAUCCAUAAAAUUACUUUACAGGAAAACUGAUUUUAUCGUAAUCCAAGCUAGUUGGAAACAGUUUUUCACUCCGGAAACAGUUUUGAAGUGACUUUUACAGCAAACCAAACACCUUAGUAAAAAGGAGGAAAAGAAAAAAAAAUUCCUAAUUUUCAAUGAAACGGAUAGAAAGGUUAUUUUCCCUUUUGCUGUUUGGCUGGAAGAUGGUACUAAUUUUUCUUUCGUCCCAAGGGGUGGUUUGGACCCAGCGUGGCCCAGCCCGGUCCGAUCUUGGAAAGGUUCAUUCCACCCUAGGCCUGCUAAUGACCCUACUUGUCCAGAAUCCUUAGCCUGCAUGUUCAAAUGCAAUUUUCAUGUACUUUUACUCAGCUAUUGUAGGCAUUGUUGUAAUACGAACCCAACAAACGAAGUUUAAUAACAAAGAAAAAAAAAAUUACACUUAACAAAGUUAGCUUGCUUAGUAAACUUAGCUAAAAGAUUUGCUUCUUAUCAAAAGAAUCUGUUUUUUAAAAAAAUUGCUGGCUAACUAGAUCGUCCUCUUUAUAUAAAUGCGAAAACUUUGUUUCGGUGCUAACAGCCACCGUGAAAAACCUUCUGUUAAGUUUAACCUUUACAAAAGUAUAAGCUUUUUGUUUUACAAAACAUGCAUUUCGUAAGGUACUUUUUUAGCCUAAUGGUAAACUAGUUGAUGUUGUUUUCAUUUCACAACAGAAGGUCCGACGAGCAGAAAAGCAUCUUUGCAGCGGUAUCUGGAGAAAAGGAAAGACAGGUAUUGAGGGGUUUUUUUGUCCCCAUAGGAACUAACUUUCUUAGUCAGAAUAUCAUCUUUGCAAUUACUAAGCCUCAAUAAAUUCCACGAAAUAUGAAGGUUUAAGGGCAAAAGAAUUGUUGGGGGUUCAUCUUCUUCUGCCAUGGAGAUGAUUUACUUGGGCCAGAAGAUUCAGGAUCAGGCAUCAAAUGAGCAAUUGGUUAGGAGCGACACGAGCUCCCCUAACCACCCGAGACCACCAUCAACACCCACUAGGAGCAGCUCGAUGGAAAACCAGGCAGGAAAGUUACGCUUCUCGGUUGACCUUAACGAUGAUUGUAAGUAAAUAUGAUCUUUACUGAAUUGACUAUGUCGAUGAGCACAUUAUGUUCAGAUGUUUUCAACCAAAUAUGUUCAUUGCAUGCAAACAUAAGGAGAAGUAUUCAAUUAGCCAAAAUAACUCAGCAAUCUCCUGAUUACACUCGUGUUCUUAAUUUCUAAUAAAUAAAUUAAACUCAUCUUCCGAAAAAUGUUUUGUGGAGUGUGCUUUAUACUAAGUAAUUAGUACCUGCCGUGUUAAAUGCUUUAGCCAUUUCUAUCCUUCUCUAUCUUUAUCCAAGUAGUUCUCCACUGCUAUAAAUCUCAAGCUAGAUAAAUAUUGUAACACAAUCCUCUUUUGAUUGUUGAGAUUUCUUUCUCAGGUACUAAACUCCAAAGUCUUGAUUGCAUCUCAUUUUUAAACAGGUGGUGGCAAUUGAGAACCUAGUUUCCUUUGCUCAAAGAGUUGCUAAUCCAAAUGUUUCGAUGCAAGGAUCGAACCUAAUCUUUGGAACGGUCACUUUCUUUUGAGAAUUAAGCAGAUGCCCUGUAGUCUGUUAUCACGACUGUCGUUCCCUUGGACUACAAGAGGAAGGCUAUUUUGCAUCUGGUCUAAUGCGGGCGUGUAUACCAGGUAAAUAAGAUUUUAAGAAGAACAUCAUCAGGCUGAGAAUUAUGGUAUAAGAUGGUAAGGCGCGUCUUUAGUCUCUCGAGACAAUCAAUUAGCCAAGAGUUUUAGGUAUUCCGUUUUGGGGUCAGAUGAACUCUUACGCGGGAAUCUGUUGUUGUACAAGGCUCAGGCCUAUUUUGCACUUAUAUGUGUAUCAGUAAUCUUGAUGGUGAUGAGGUGAAUGUAAUUUGAGAUUUUUAUCUUAUUAUUCUGAAAUUAAAUUUGUGCAGCUUUGGACGUAUGCUGCAGAUCUUCUCCUUUCAAGUCUAUACUGUCUCCAAUUGUGAAGUUGAUCUUUUCUGCUGCUGAUGCAAAAAUGCUAUUAAUUGUGACUUGUGAGCGCAUUAUCAUUUUCCUUUUGACAAUGCAAACAUGCUGAUGUGUUCUUAAAUGACUCAGAGUGGAUUAAUGACUUGCUUCAAUUAUUCAACCUUAGGCAAAAAAAAAAAAAAUAGUUCCUUUGUAUUUUCCACUCGCUUCAACAAACUUAAUUAAUCAUGAAUUGAAUGGGUCCUAGGGGAGAGAGACUGUGUGAGGACGAAGAAUACAAAAUCUAUCUAUUCCACUCUAUACUUAUUUAUUUAUUUAUUUAUUUAUUUUUUAUUUAUUUUAUUUUUUUAUAGCAUUAAAGGAUAGUUAGGAGAUCGCAAGGUGACACGUCUCCUACCAACACUCUCUUCUUCGUAAUGAGAAAUUAUUGCCAACACUAGGUCUAUUAGUUUGUCUUAUACAGAGAACUUUUUUUUUUUUUAUUUUGAAAGAAAGGUAGCAAUAAACUUAGUUGGAAAUGUGAAUCAAUUAGGAUUCGAAUUUGGAUCUCGAAUACCAACCAUCAAAUUCUUUUGCCACUUGCAAUAGGGAUGGUAGGCAGAAAACUCAUUUUUUAAUAGAUAUAAUUUAGAUCAUUUACAAGGCCUGUGAAUAGAAUGUUACAAAGCCUAUGAAUAGAAUGUUACAAGGUAGCAAAUAGUCUUAAAAAUUAAUAAUAAAGGAUGAGUUAUUGUUCCAUUUUUGAGAAAUAGGAUUUAAAACUAAUUUUAAUUUGAUAGCCAGGCCUUUUAAAUGUCAUAAAAUACGUCCAACGAAUUAGAUUUUGGCAUUAAAUUUUUAUCUUCUAGUUUUAGAGAUGCCGUGUACAAAAUAUAUUUAUGCAUUUGUGUGCAAAACAAUUUCUCCACCACUAUCCCAUCCUUCCAUUAAUUACUUUUAUUAAUUUAUUUGAAUUAUUUCAAUACGUUUUUUUUCUAGUUUUUCACAUAUAUUUUUAUAAAAUAAUCUAAUUACUAAUAGCUCUUUAUAUUUUUUUCUCUUAUACUCGUGAUUUUCUUCUAUUUUUGUAGCCAUGUUUAUUUAAUUAUUUUAAUUACAUUAUUUCUUAUUUUAAUAUCUAUAGUCUUGUAAUAUAAUCUAACUAUUAUUAAUGAGUUCCUACAAUAUUUUCAAAUAUAUAUGGUCAAAAAAUGUACUUAAUUAAAUAUCCUUAAAAAAGUUAUUUUUAUACAUAUAAUUGUUGAAUUAUGUUCUGAUUAUUUUAAUCAUUUAAUAUCCAUAUUAUUAGCCAUUUGCUUACGCAUAUAUUCAUUAUUAAUUACUUAACCACCGUGAUCUCUUAUAAAAAUCAUAAUAUGCUGCAUAUAUACUCAUUUAAAUUAUUUUUAUUCAAAUUAAUUAUAUUAAUAACUAAGCUGAUAAAGUUUUUAAACCAUACAAAAAAAAAUCAACUGAAUUUUGUUGCUAAAAGAUUUUAUAUAUAUUCUUCGUAUCACGCGGGCCCUUCACUGGUUUUGAAUUAAUUCCAGGGUCCCCAGCUCUUUAAUUUCAUGAUAGACAUAUCUUAUCUCCGUAAAUUGCAUCUGCUGUUCAACAUUUAUUAUUUCUAUUCUCUCUCUCAAAAAAAAAAAAAAAAAACAUUUAUUAUUAUUUAUAUGAAGAAGGAUAGAUAGCUAGAAUGAAUAUACUCAGCAAAUGUUCACCUAUGAAAAUUAGCCCCAUGUUGGACUUGAAUUUUAAGGGAUCUAAGCUUUGAAUGGGUUGUUACGUGGGGUAAUUAAAUUGCACCAUCUUAACCUUUUACGAAAGUACUUAAGUAACCUAGUUAAUUUCAUGGAACCUGGGAUUCUUUUGUAUCUUCAUAAUAAAGUUGCAGUGACAAAAAAAAACAAAAAAACCAUUAUUUUUAUUUUUAUUUUUUAGAGAUAAGUAGCAUGCUACACGUUUCAUUUAUUUCUUGCUUAUUUAAUUUACAAAUAAACUUGGCUACAAAUGCGAAUCAAUUAGGAUUCGAACUUGGGAUCUCGAAUACCAACCGUCAAGUCCUUUGCCACUUGCGCUUCGGACGGUCGAUAAAACCAUUAUUUGUAUUGGUAGAUUGGAACCACUCACCUAUAUAUCAUUGUGACUGGUUCAACUUUUCCUUUUGUGCAAUUCUAUCAGUGACAUCAUGCACCUAAUUAAAGAAAACCAUUCCAAUUGUUGGGAUCAUGGUUUGAGUUGAUACCUCAACUAAUAAUAAAGGACCAGUACCCCUUUUUGUUGAAACUUGAAAUCAAACUCUGGAGCAUUCCAAUAACCACUAGUGCAUGUAUUUAACAUAACUCAUUUUGUUGCACCUAACCUAUAUUUGUUAGAGGACACUUUUUAACUAAAAUGAUAUCCACUCCUUUGUAAUUGCUACUAACUACUUACCAACUCUCCUAUUUUAUCCAUAGGCAAGAGACAAAGCAUUGCAUGAACUAAGGCACUUGUCUGAACCUGAUGCUCACCUCUCAACCACUGCAAGUCAAAACAACUACAUUAAUUUGGUGUAAGAAAUUAUUAGAAAAAUGUUAGCUACUUGUACACUCUGUAUAUAAAUAUAUAUAUGUGUAAAGUUUUUAUUAUUUCCAUCGAAGAGUUCAUGCAUUAAUUAAUCUUUUUGGAUUUUUGGAAUUUUUAACAAAGGUUAAUAAUACUAAUAAAAAAAAUAAUAGCUCUUGCAUGAGUGCGGUGUAAAUUAAUCUCACUUCUAAUUUUAGGGUGUACAUAUAGAAUUGCUCUAAUUAGUAUUGAAAAGGAUCUAUUUUGAAGUGAGUGGUUUUUUCUCUUUUGUCUUUGUUUUGUAACAUAUUUCUCUAUUCUUUUUUGAAGUCAAUCGAGACUAGGUACGAAGCCGGUGAGCCCCAUGCGUGCUCUGAUCGAAUGAAUACUUGAAAUAAGAUGCAUCACAAAUUAAUCAAAACUUGUCAUGUCAUAUGUAUAUUAGGAUAAUCCUGCAUGUUUCUAUCUUUUCAACAUAUAAUAACUAAUGCGUCCUGGAUUGACAUUUGGGAAUCUACAUCAUUCGACUGAUUAUUCGCGUGCAUCGCAUGCAACUGUUAUAUAUGCAAGCUUGUAGCAAGCAUCACACUAAUUAAUUAAAGAGUUAGGACCUGCACAUAUGGCCCAUCUCAUGCAUGUAGAGCCCCUGCAAAAGCAUUGUUUAGGUAUAGGUACGUAGUUGAAGACGCUAUAUAUAGUGUUUUGACUCGACAGUAUCAAUAUAGAACUCUUUCCAUAUAUAACAACAACAAUAUAUAGAGUAAAGAUGGAGCAUUUCAUUGCUGCUUCUCGUAGCAUAACUAUUCUAAAAGACGUACUGCAUGUACAAACAACCAUUUACACAUUAUUUAGAAGCAACACAUGUGGAACCUAAAUACAAGUCUUUUAUGCGAACAUUAAUGUCUCUAUCAACUAUGUUAUGCAUGUCUUUUAUAUAUAUAUAUAUAUAUAUAUAUAUUGAGAUAGAAGUAAAUUAACUGGAACAAGUUUCUUUUACAUGGUCGGUCAUUCCCCAAGUGGCAUUAGGUUGGCUUUGGUGAUCUAAUGCCACAACUGAGGGGAAGGGAAGGUGAAGGGAGGGAUUAUUUUGAGGGGCUCCAACUCCAAAAGAACAGUUGAGUUCGAGUUGGCCAAAUCCCCACCUAUAACACACACACACUCUCUCUCUCUCUCUCUCUCUCUCUCUCUCUCUCAAAUAUUUGCCCUAUUCCCCCACAUGGCAAUGUUGGAUGAUCCACUGUUUGUAGCCGUUAUCUAAAUUUUGUCUCCACUCUCCCUCAAAAUCAAACAGCAACUUGAACAUGUGGGGGAGGGCCCAACUACUGAACUUGUCAAACCCCCCCCUUACUGAUAAUUAAUCAUGUUCCCACUCAGUGCCAACGAAAGGUUGUCUCGUACCAUUUCUUUAUAUAUAUAUAUAUAUAUAGAUAUAUAUAUAUAUAUAUAUUAUAUAUAUAUAUAUAUAUAUAUAUAUAAUAAUAGAUAGACAUUUAAUCUAAGGAAAAACGAAAAGAAGAAAAUUAAGAUAAAAAACCUAUUUUAUGCUUCUGUGAAAAUUAUGUCUAGGGAGAGCUUUAGUAGAAUUUGUUUUGACCUGCUGCUUGAAGUAAAAGUUUUGAGGGAAGAACUAAUAAUACCUUUAUCCAUCAAUUUGUUUUAAAGUAAUUUUUUAUUAUCGUAUAAAUAUAGUUGUAAUUAACUUGGAUUUUUUUUUCUUUUGUUUUAAAACUUAUUCCAAUUCCUCUAUUCACAAAAAUUAGGUUCCAACAGACCGUCCCUUGCAUAGUUGAUGGGCAGCUUAACAAUUUGUAUUUGAGAUUCGAAAUUUAAAAUCUAAUUAAUUUAUAUUUUUAGUUGAGUUUAAUUUUUAAAAAUGUAAUAAAAUAUACAGCAUGCUGUUUUUUUAUUAAAGAGAAAAAUAUAAAUCGGUGGGUUGUUUGGACGGAGCGCAAUAAGAUUGUCUUCAGCGUGGAGACCCCGGAUGCUACCCGAGCAAUUGGAAGGGUCGUUGCGUUAUUGAAGGCAUGGACCGAGGCACUAGACCCGUGAUCGCUCUUUAAUCUCUCGAGUCGGUGCUCUUGUCUACUUAUCUGUACUGGUCUCUUACUGUUUUCUUUUCGCUUUGCCGGUUCCGCUAGGAGGCCUUAGCUGUCUCCAUCAUGUACGCUAAAUUCAUUUUGCUUAAUGAAUGAAGCAGGUAGCUUGCUACCUCUUUCUCAAAAAAAAAAAAGAGAAAAAUAUAAAUCUUUGGUUACAUAAAAAAAUAUUUUUUCAUACCAAACUCGCAAUAACGGUAUUUAAAGAUAGUACAUUUUUUUGUAACCAUAUAUAGACGUCAAAAAUUUUUACACUGGGAGUUGCACAAAAAUUUGUACUCUCACGCCAAAUGGUACAUUUUAUUAAAAAUUGGGAGACUAUAUAUAAAGAGAGAACUAGAUUACUAUAAUAUUAAUAGCACAAGUCAUUUGUGCCGAUAGGUUUUCUAUUUUUAUAUGAAAAGAUGUGUAGUUAGGAUAAUGAUGGUCAAAAAAAUAAAUUUAACGAAGAAAAAAUUAAUAACACUAAAUAGUUGAUGCUAUCGAUAGUAUAAUAGCCGGACUCUUUAUAACACUAAAUAGAACUUCCGAAUCGACGAUCCAUAUCGUUAAACAUUAUCUAGAGCAUUUAAAACUUCUAGAAAUCAAAUUUCAUAAUUUUUCGACACUAUUUACCUAACGAUCAAAAGCUCACAAAAUUGACAACUUUUAACGGCCGGUAUGAGAUACUUGCUAGUUUAACGGUCUAAAAGAAUCGGAAUAGGUUGAAUUUUUGAUAGAAAAUUCUAUUCACUAUUUAGAUAAAAAUCAAUAAUUUCGAUCUUAAAUUAAAAGAUCCGAUCAUCCAUUUUUAGGACGUCGUUCGAUUUUGAUCAUUCAUUUUAUACCCGCUUGAUGAACUUUAUUAAAUUCAUUUUCUGAAAUUUUUAAAUACUUUAGAUUACAUUUAAUGGAGUGGAUCGUCGAUUCAGAAAUCCCAUCAUAAAAAAUAACUUAUGGAUACGAAAGGCCCAAUACUCAUAAGAGUAUAGUAACCCUACUCUCUCUCUCUCUCUCUCUCUCUCUCUCUCUCUUCUAUAUUAUAUAUAAUUAUAUUAUUAUAUAUAUCCGACUUGGAAUAACUAUUACAUAGGCAUAAAGCAUUUGGUGCUAUUAAGUUUUCGGUACUUGGAUUAAAAAAUAUAGGGUUAGAAUGAUGUGGGUCCCUAGGGUUGAGUAAGUUGUUAGUUUAAUAGUAUAAUCUAAUAGAUGAAAAUAGUUAAAAAGUUAAAUCUAAUUGCGAAAAAUUUGAUAGCACCGUACGGAUGGUGUUAUCAAUAGUAUUCCAGUCGGACUAUAUAUAUAUAUAUAUAUAUAU